CAUGAAGAGGAAGCAUGGUGCAUAUAGUUGCCACCUAAUUGAUCGUAUAUGAGUUAAAUACACACGCAUGCUUUUGCAACAUAUCUUGUCAGAUUCUUAAAAAAGUUGCUGAGCACAAAACAAAUUUUUAGCAAAGUGUUUCAUUAAAAAUACAAAGUGUGCUGUGCCUGAAAAAGGUGUAUUCACUGUACUUUGGAAAAACAGUUACAAAUAAACUUAUACUAGGCCGUGUGCAUAAAGUACGCUACAGUUUCAGUUUUGUAUGUACCGCAGGGUCAAUCAUAUAAACACCCUUGCACCUACAACUAAAACCAAAACGGAUUGUACAAUUGCCAGUUUCAGAGCUGUCCCUUAUAUUCGUUUUCCUACUGAUUUGAUUUAGGAUUGUGUAUUCCUACUGCUAAAUUUUUCCAAAUGUAAGUGUUUGUUUACAAGCAUCGCAUUUGAAAUGUUUUAAAUAAACGAAAACAAAAAAAACUGCCAAUUGCUAAACUAAAAUCAAUCUGGCAACUCUGUGUCUCUAAAUACCAAAAAAAUUCAAAUAUACCGAACGUGUUUAAAGG